rnacentral:tRNA from 1 species
GCUUCUGUGGCGGAAUAGGUAGACGCGGCAGACUUAAAAUCUGUUUUAUUUGCAGGUUCAAAUCCUGCCAGGAGUA